rnacentral:rRNA from 1 species
GACGAACGCUGGCGGCGUGCCUAAUACAUGCAAGUCGAGCGGACGGAUGGGAGCUUGCUCCCAGACCGGCAGCGGCGGCGGGGUGGGUACCACGUGGGCACCCUCCCUGUAAGACUGGGUUAACUCCGGGAAACCGGGGCUAUUCCCGGUAAACUCUUUCCCUCCCUUGAGGGAAAGCUGAAAGAUGGCAUCUCGCUAUUACUUACACGUGUGCCCGCGGCGCAGUAGCUGGUUGGGGUGGUAACGGCUCACCAAGGUGACGAGGCGUAGCCGACCGGAGGGAGGGAUCGGCCACACUGGGAGGGAGACACGGACCAGAGUCCUACGGGAGGCAGCAGUAGGGAAUCUUCCGCAAUGGACGAAAGUCUGACGGAGCAACGCCGCGUGAGUGAUGAAGGUUUUCGGAGCGUAAAACUCUGUUGUCAGGGAAGAACAAGUACCGGAGUAACUGCCGGUACCUUGACGGUACCUGACCAGAAAGCCACGGCUAACUACGUG